UUCNAUUUAAACAUCCUUNUUNAUUGAGAGGAAGGGGGGGAUUUAUUAUAACUUUUCNAAUCGCAUGGCCUUGNGCCGGCGAUGGUUCAUUCAAAUUUCUUCCCUAUCAACUUUCGAUGUUUGGGUAUUGGCCAAACAUGGUCGCAACGGGUAACGGAGGGUUAGGGCUCGACCCCGGANAAGGAGCCUGAGAAACGGCUACNACAUCCAAGGAAGGCAGCAGGCGCGCAAAUUACCCAAUCCCGAUUCGGGGAGGUAGUGACAAUAAAUACUGAUACAGGGCUCUUUUGGGUCUUGUAAUUGGAAUGAGUACAAUUUAAAUCCCUUAACGAGGAACAAUUGGAGGGCAAGUCUGGUGCCAGCAGCCGCGGUAAUUCCAGCUCCAAUAGCGUAUAUUAAAGUUGUUGUGGUUAAAAAGCUCGUAGUUGAACCUUGGGCCUGGCUGGCCGGUCCGCCUCACCGCGUGUACUGGUCCGGCCGGGCCUUUCCCUNUGUGGAACCUCAUGCCCUUCACUGGGUGUGGNGGGGAAACAGGACUUUUACUUUGAAAAAAUUAGAGUGCUCCAGGCAGGCCUAUGCUCGAAUACAUUAGCAUGGAAUAAUGAAAUAGGACGUGUGGUUCUAUUUUGUUGGUUUCUAGGACCGCCNUAAUGAUUAAUAGGGACAGUCGGGGGCAUCAGUAUUCAAUUGUCAAAAGUGAAAUUCUUGGAUUUAUUGAAAACUAACUACUGCGAAAGCAUUUGCCAANGAUGUUUUCAUUAAUCAAGA
rnacentral:rRNA from 2 species